CCUACGGGAGGCAGCAGUGGGGAAUAUUGGACAAUGGGGGCAACCCUGAUCCAGCCAUGCCGCGUGUGUGAAGAAGGCCCUCGGGUUGUAAAGCACUUUCAGUGAGGAAGAACGCCUGGUGGUUAAUACCCAGCAGGAAAGACAUCACUCACAGAAGAAGCACCGGCUAACUCCGUGCCAGCAGCCGCGGUAAUACGGAGGGUGCGAGCGUUAAUCGGAAUUACUGGGCGUAAAGCGCGCGUAGGUGGCUUGAUAAGCCGGUUGUGAAAGCCCCGGGCUCAACCUGGGAACGGCAUCCGGAACUGUCAAGCUAGAGUGCAGGAGAGGAAGGUAGAAUUCCCGGUGUAGCGGUGAAAUGCGUAGAGAUCGGGAGGAAUACCAGUGGCGAAGGCGGCCUUCUGGACUGACACUGACACUGAGGUGCGAAAGCGUGGGUAGCAAACAGGAUUAGAUACCCCUGUAGUC
rnacentral:rRNA from 1 species